rnacentral:rRNA from 1 species
GGCCUACGGGAGGCAGCAGUGGGGAAUAUUGGACAAUGGGGGCAACCCUGAUCCAGCCAUGCCGCGUGUGUGAAGAAGGCUUUCGGGUUGUAAAGCACUUUCAGUGAGGAGGAAAACUCUGCGACUAAUACUCGUAGGGCUUGACGUUACUCACAGAAGAAGCACCGGCUAACUCCGUGCCAGCAGCCGCGGUAAU